rnacentral:rRNA from 1 species
GUCAAGUCAUCAUAACUCUUACGUCUAGGGCUACACACACGCUACAAUGGAUGGUACAAAGGGCAGCGAAGCGGCGACGCAUGAGCGAAUCCCAGAAAACCAUUCUCAGUUCGGAUUGCAGGCUGCAACUCGCCUGCAUGAAGCCGGAAUCGCUAGUAAUCGCGGAUCAGCAUGCCGCGGUGAAUACGUUCCCGGGCCUU